rnacentral:misc_RNA from 1 species
GAGAAAAGAUCAUACAUUAACAUUCCUGGAUACUAAAAAUAACUAAGCAACAAGAUAAAAGCAUCAUAAGAAAAGCUGUCCAAUACUCACAAUAUUUUGCAGGAACCAUCAACUAUCUAUACCGCAUCAUCGACCUUAACUUCAUUAACUCUCAUCCUCCACUAACUGCUUGAAAUUGAUUGGGGAUGCAAACUUCACUGAACCAUUGUAAAUCGCCACUCCCGCAAGUUUGGAUGUGGCAUGCGUCGGAUGCAGCAGAUCCCAGAACAGGUAUUGAUGUCGAUUAGAGCAGAACGUAGCAUUCGGGGUGCAACCAGACUCGCCGUUGAACUUUCCAGAUCCACAGCAAGCAGUCUUAAUCUCUUUAUAACCUAGUGCAGUAGGGUUCCGAAUUAUGUUCUGCACAACAGCAUAGGAACUCCCUAU